UACAGAGGUCCCAAGCGUUGUUCGGAUUUACUGGGCGUAAAGGGUGCGUAGGUGGCGAGGUAAGUUCGAUGUGAAAUCUCCGAGCUCAACUCGGAAAUGGCAUUGAAUACUAUCCCGCUUGAGGGUCGGAGGGGAGACUGGAAUUCUCGGUGUAGCAGUGAAAUGCGUAGAUAUCUGGAGGAACACCGGUGGCGAAGGCGGCAUCCUGGACCAAUUCUGACGCUGAGGAGCGAAAGCCAGGGGAGCAAACGGG
rnacentral:rRNA from 1 species